rnacentral:rRNA from 1 species
UUCAACAUUAUUAUAUUUGAUGAAAAUAUGAUGGUGUGCACUUUUCUUCUAGUAAGACGUUGUGAUCCAUUAGAAAUAAAAAAUAAUCUGUAUAUAGAACUGAAUAGGAGUUUAUACAUUCUGCGAGUAACAUAACUUUGUUGUUAUGUGAAUGCGUAUAAACUAUUUAGUUUCUUAUAGAUGUCUGAUGGUAUUUUUAAAUAUUACAUACAAUUCUUCUUGAAUUGAUAUAUAUUAUUCUGUAAUAUAUAUAAUGUAUAUAUUAUCAACAACGUUUUAAAUUUAGGAUACCAUCAGGACCCGUCUUGAAACACGGACCAAGAAGUCUAACUUGUAUGCAAGUCAAUGGGAUUUUUAAAACUCAUAGGCGAAAUAAACAUAACUUAUUUAAAUGGGAUUACAAAUAAUAUAAAUUAUAUUAUUUUUCCAUCCCCGGGUAUCUUAAUGUAAGUACUAUAAUUUUCGGAUUAUGUGUACUACAAAGAUAUACCGUGAGCAUACAAGCUGUGACCCGAAAGAUGGUGAACUAUGCCUGAUCAGGUUGAAGUCAGGGGAAACCCUGAUGGAAGACCGUAGCAAUUCUGACGUGCAAAUCG